rnacentral:rRNA from 1 species
UGGGAUGACGUCAAAUCAUCAUGCCCCUUAUGUUCUGGGCUACACACGUGCUACAAUGGCCGGUACAGACGGACGCAAAGCCGGCGAGGCGGAGCAAAUCCGAAAAGCCGGUCUCAGUUCGGAUUGCAGGCUGCAAUUCGCCUGCAUGAAGUCGGAAUCGCUAGUAAUCGCAGGUCAGCAUACUGCGGUGAAUACGUUCCCGGGCCUU